ensembl:miRNA
CUGUGGUUCCUGUAUGAAGACAGUAGCGGUGUCUUCAUGCAGGAACCACAUUG